GAUUUUGGAGAGGAAUGGAAAUCAGGAAAACAGCCAUUUACACAUGCAUGUGUAUGUUCACUAGAGCACUAUUCACAAUGGCAAAGACAUGGAAUCAACCGAGGUGCCCAUCAGUGGCGGACUGGAUAAAUGAAAAUGUGGUACAUACACUAUGGAAUAUUAUGCAGCCCUGAAAAGAAUGAAAUUGUGUUCUUUGCAGCAAUGUGGGUGCAGCUGGUGGCCAUUAUCCUAAGCAUAAUGCAGGAACAGAAAACCUAAUGUAGCAGGCCACGUCUCACUAACACCGGCCUCCGUAACAACUAUUUCAGCACUGACUGAAUGGUUAAGUUAAAUAUUAAAAGGUGAAAGAGCCAGUGUCUUUAUACAAAGGCUGGAAUGUAACAAAAGCCUACAAAGAGUUUUGCCCAGGCCCUUUCUGGGCCUUGAAGCAUGACAAGAUAAAGAAGGAAUCCUUAACAGGACCUGUUCAGGGUUAAACAAGUUUUAUUGGGAGUCUGAAGAAACUCAGAUCUCCACAAACAAGUUUAUUGGGGGUCUGAAGGAACUGCCCAAACCUCCAUGAUUUAGCAGGUGACAAGAUAAGGGUCAUCACUCCUGGCACCUGGACCCAUCUAGAUUAAAUAAAUUUACUGAGACUCCAGAGGAAGGUCUUCAGGACUCAGACCUUCAACUUUCCUUUAGCAGAGCUAUUCCUUUAAAAAAAAAAUGUUUUGCCUUUCUCUCCCCACCCUCAACUUCAAAUCUCCCAUGUAGCUGUUUUUGUCCUGGAUUUUGGUACCUAGGUCCCUGGGGCAUCCCCACUUCUUCAGGGCUCUCCUGUGGCUGCCCCACAUGGAAGGCACAGCAGUUGCUUCCUAGGCACAUGUAACUUACGGGAAUUCAUAUCCAACCUUGAGCAUCCAGACUUUUGCAUCAUCGUGGUAGACAGCGGUGGAGGCAGCCAGACCUGGACCAGUGCAAGCAAGACCUGUGGAAUGAACAUAUGGGUCCUGACCCGUGGCAGAGAGAGUACAGCCCAUCUGCAAAUGGCCAGGCAGAACAUUUAUCUCUACAUCUCAUACCCUUAUAUUCAGCAAGAAUCUUUUAAAGUUUAUUUGAGAACAAAAGCUUCACAUAGACAACUCAGCCAAGCCUCAGUAAGUUCUCUACCGCAUGGUGCCCUCCCACGUCCGCCCCCCUAACGCAACCCGGAUCCAGAUGGGCAGUAAUCAGGGGCACAGAGCAAGUGCUUGAGCCCUGGGAGCUGGGGGUGGGUGGAGGAGUUUCCUCAGCUUCCCCUUCUAUUUUCUUGGAAACAACUGGGCUUAUUUAAACUGUGUCUGGGUGGAAAUUUUUAUGAAGAACAAAAAUGAGAAUUUAUAGAAUUAGUUUGAGGUUUUGUUCGCUUGGACUCCAUAUUUGCUGUAAGGGGAAAACUUAAAAAAAGAAAAAAG
rnacentral:lncRNA from 1 species